rnacentral:rRNA from 1 species
CCUACGGGGGGCAGCAGUGGGGAAUAUUGGAGAAGGGGGGGGGGGGGGGGGGGGUGGUGGGGCGUGUGGGUAGAAGAUCGUCGGGUUGUAAAGCACUUUAAGUGAGGAAGAAGGCCUGGUGGUUAAUACCCAUCAGGAAAGACAUCACUCACAGAAGAAGCACCGGCUAACUCCGUGCCAGCAGCCGCGGUAAUACGGAGGGUGCGAGCGUUAAUCGGAAUUACUGGGCGUAAAGCGCGCGUAGGUGGCUUGAUAAGCCGGUCGUGAAAGCCCCGGGCUCAACCUGGGAACGGCAUCCGGAACUGUCAAGCUAGAGUGCAGGAGAGGAAGGUAGAAUUCCCGGUGUAGCGGUGAAAUGCGUAGAGAUCGGGAGGAAUACCAGUGGCGAAGGCGGCCUUCUGGACUGACACUGACACUGAGGUGCGAAAGCGUGGGUAGCAAACAGGAUUAGAUACCCCGGUAGUC